GGGUGCUUGCAAAUGCAACAGUGGAGAAGCAGAAGCUCCUUCCCCGGCGCCUGUGCUUUUAGCUUCUGGCACGGCUGGAUCACCAGCUGCCGUAUCAUCCGCAGAAUGACCCAAGGGUAAUUUGCCCAGCCGAGCUCUGGCUCAGCUUUCAAACUAGACCUGCCGCACUGGCUGUACAGGAGACCCUGCAGGUGCCCCUUGCUGAAAGGAUCAUUGUUAUUCCACGGAAAUGACCUUUGGAUUCCAAUUGCCUUUAUUUAAAAUGAAACAAAAACAACUCUAACCACGCUCUGAGCAAAAACAAAUUAGCUGUUAUUGCUGCACAACUCUACGUACGCUGCAGUAAUCUUCCAGGCUUCUCUUUCUGACAGGUCAGUCAAUAAAUGGUGCUGUGUUAACUCAUCGCCACUGAGGCUCCCACGCAGGUGAAAAUGUUUCUGAUUUUUCUCAAGGAUCGCUCUUUGCUGUCACACUACAAGUUCUCAGGAACUCAGCUUCAUCUGCAUUUUGUCAAGAGGGGCACAGGUGAACUGUAAAAACAAAUUUAGAAAUCA